UGUCUCAAAGAUUAAGCCAUGCAUGUCUAAGCAGAAGCCGUACUACGGUAAAGCCGCGAAUGGCUCAUUACAACAGCCGUCGUUUCUUGGAUCUCUCGAUCUACUUGGAUAACUGUGGUAAUUCUAGAGCUAAUACACGCCUUGAAGCUCUGACCUUCGGGGACGAGCGCAUUUAUUAGAACAAAACCAAUGGGGUUCGCCCCUCGGUUGGUGACUCUGAAUAACUACUCCGAUCGCACGGUCUCGCACCGGCGACGCAUCUUUCAAGUGUCUGCCUUAUCAACUGUCGAUGGUAGUUUAUGUGCCUACCAUGGUUGUAACGGGUAACGGAGAAUAAGGGUUCGACUCCGGAGAGGGAGCCCGAGAAACGGCUACCACAUCCAAGGAAGGCAGCAGGCGCGCAAAUUACCCAUUCUCAGUACGAGGAGGUAGUGACGAAAAAUAACGAGACGGAUCUCUUUGAGGCCCGUUAUCGGAAUGAGAACAAUUCAAAUCCUUUAACGAGGAUCUAGCGGAGGGCAAGUCUGGUGCCAGCAGCCGCGGUAAUUCCAGCUCCGCAGGUGUAUAUCUAUGCUGCUGCGGUUAAAAAGCUCGUAGUUGGAUCUGCGUGCUCGGAGCCGGUUGGCUCACUGAGUCCAAACUGGUAUCCGGCAUUUUAUCGGCUGGUUUUCCCUUGAUGCUCUUAACCGGGUGUCUAGGGAGGCUAGCACGUUUACUUUGAAAAAAUUAGAGUGCUCAAUACAGGCGCAAUGCCUUGAAUAGUGGUGCAUGGAAUAAUAGAAAAGGACUUCGGUUCUAUUUUGUUGGUUUUCGGAACACGAGGUAAUGAUUAAGAGGGACAGACGGGGGCAUUCGUAUUGCUGCGUUAGAGGUGAAAUUCUUGGAUCGUAGCAAGACGAACGACUGCGAAGGCAUUUGCCAAGAAUGUUUUCAUUAAUCAAGAACGAAAGUUAGAGGUUCGAAGGCGAUCAGAUACCGCCCUAGUUCUAACCGUAAACGAUGCUAACUAGCAAUCCACUGGCGUUAAUCAACGACCUAGUGGGCAGCUUCCCGGAAACGAAAGUCUUCCAGUUCCGGGGGAAGUAUGGUUGCAAAUCUGAAACUUAAAGGAAUUGACGGAAGGGCACCACCAGGAGUGGAGCCUGCGGCUUAAUUUGACUCAACACGGGAAAACUCACCCGGCCCGGACACCGUAAGGAUUGACAGAUUGAGAGCUCUUUCUUGAUUCGGUGGGUGGUGGUGCAUGGCCGUUCUUAGUUGGUGGAGCGAUUUGUCUGGUUUAUUCCGAUAACGAACGAGACUCUAGCCUACUAAAUAGUGGGCGGAUUAUUUUGUCCGCAAUACUUCUUAGAGGGACAAGCGGUGUUGAGCCGCACGAGAUUGAGCAAUAACAGGUCUGUGAUGCCC
rnacentral:rRNA from 1 species